UUACGUUGUUAUCCCUAAGGUAAUUUAAUCUUAUAAUCAAAAUAAAUGGAUCAAAAAUAUAUACAUAAAUAUAUAAAAAUAAAGGGGAGUUAAACAAUAUUCCUCCCAUCACCCCAACAAAACAAUUCACUCCCACUCAAUGUAAAUAAAACAAACAACGAACAAAUAGGAAAAUUGUCAAACUCUAUAGGGUCUUCUCGUCCCAUAAAAACAUUUAAGAAUUUUAACUCAAAAACCAAAUUCAAUAAAUCAAUACNUCUAAGACAGCUUAUGUCUCGUCAAGCCAUUCAUACCAGAUCACAAUUAAAGAACUAAUGAUUAUGCUACCUUUGCACGGUCAAAAUACCGCGGCCCUUCAACUCCAAGUCAGUGGGCAGGCCAUACUUCAAAAACUAACAAGAAAAGAUGUUUUUGAUAAACAGGCG
rnacentral:rRNA from 1 species